rnacentral:rRNA from 1 species
UUUUUUUCUUUCCUCGCGAUUCGUCUCCCCGAUAUGAGGACGGCGCAGGCCCGGGGCUCGCCAAUGCUUCCUUCCCGUCGCUAAGGCUCGGUCGUUCGCAUUUCUCGUUCGUCGGUGCGGGACGAGUCCUUCCUCCGGGCCGGGAUGCGGUCGGGGGGUGACGGUGGUUUCUUCUUCCCUACUCUGUAGGGGAGGGGAGAUCCCUAAUCCUUCGCCGCUACCGCAGAUCCGCGAGAGAGGGGUUCUCUGGGCGCGUUAUCGCUUUCGAGGCGGCGAUCCGCCGGCGCGGGACGAGCGGCGGGUCCUCUGAGCGCGUAUUCUGGUACCCGAAAGAUGGUGAUCUAUGCCUGGCCAGGAUGAAGCCAGAGGAAACUCUGGUGGAGGUCCGUAGCGAUUCUGACGUGCAAAUCGAUCGUCGGAGCUGGGUAU